rnacentral:lncRNA from 1 species
UGUCUCUCUAUACUGUCUCUCUACUCUGUCUCUACUGAUCUCUCUCCUCUGUCUCCUCUGAUCUCUCUCCUCUGUCUCCUCUGAUCUCUCUCCUCUGUCUCUACUGAUCUCUCUACUCUGUCUCUCUAUACUGUCUCUCUACUCUGUCUCUACUGAUCUCUCUCCUCUGUCUCCUCUGAUCUCUCUCCUCUAUCUCCUCUGAUCUCUCUACUACUGUAUGUCUCUUAGGUAAUUAUUACAACUAUAAACUAUCGUUCCCCUUUUAAAAAGUAGUGGUAGAGUACUGUAUUAGUAGAGCAGAGUACUGUAUUAGUAGAGCAGAGUACUGUAUUAGUAGUGGUAGAGUACUGUAUUAGUAGAGUAGAGUGCUGUAUUAGUAGGGGUAGAGUACUGUAUUAGUAGAGCAGAGUACUGUAUUAGUAGUGGUAGAGUGCUGUAUUAGUAGAGUAGAGUAAUGUAUUAGUAGAGUAGAGUAAUGUAUUAGUAGUAGUAGAGUACUGUAUUAGUAGAGUAGAGUACUGUAUUAGUAGAGUAGAGUACUGUAUUAGUAGUGGUAGAGUACUGUGUUAGUAGAGUAGAGUACUGUAUUAGUAGAGUAGAGUACUGUAUUAGUAGAGCAGAGUACUGUAUUAGUAGAGUAGAGUACUGUAUUAGUAGAGCAGAGUACUGUAUUAGUAGAGUAGAGUACUGUAUUAGUAGUGGUAGAGUACUGUAUUAGUAGAGCAGAGUACUGUAUUAGUAGAGUAGAGUAAUGUAUUAGUAGUAGUAGAUUACUGUAUUAGUAGUAGUAGUAGAGUACUGUAUUAGUAGAGUAGAGUACUGUAUUAGUAGAGCAGAGUACUGUAUUAGUAGUGUAGAGUACUGUAUUAGUAGUGGUAGAGUACUGUAUUAGUAGAGCAGAGUACUGUAUUAGUAGAGUAGAGUACUGUAUUAGUAGUGGUAGAGUACUGUAUUAGUAGAGUAGAGUACUGUAUUUCCUCUGUGGCUUGUAUUGUGAAAUGGGUUAUCAGCCCCAAAGGCACAGCCACAUUCAGUCCCUUGGACACAAAGACAUCGUCCCAUAACCAACAGGCAGAACAGCCAGUCCCUUGGACACAAAGACAUCGUCCCAUAACCAACAGGCAGAACAGCCAGUCCCUUGGACACAAGGACAUUGUCCCAUAACCAACAGGCAGAAC